ensembl:lincRNA
CUUGAUCUUUGUAACAACCUGCUAGAGCUGCAAGAACAUUUUUAAUUAGACCGAAUUAUCUAGUUUGGCUGUCCACAGAAAUCAAAGCCUGAGCUGAAAUGUCUCUUUCAUUUUGCUAGUGUGGAGAUGGCUUAUGUGCUGUGAUUUUAAAGAUGUUGAACACUGCCUGUGGGCAUAUUUUAUGGAGAAAUAAACACACAGCCCAAUGAGAUGUAUAGUGUGGUUUUAAUAUAUUGUAUAUUCACUUAUUUAUAGGGAAAAUAAACACGCAAGCCAAUAAGCUGUGUGUUAUUACUUUAAUAUAUUGAAUUUAUUUCAUACCUAUAUAUUUUAUGAAGGAAAAUAAACUAAUAAGAUACACGAUAUUAUUAUAAUAACACAUCUAAUUGUUCUAUAUUAAUUUAUUUAUGAGAGAAAUAAGAGCAAUUUAACAUGACAUAAGAUUAUUUAAUGCACGAAAUGAGUUCUGUGUUAGGACAGUUUAAGGGAUUAUAUUCCAGCUGAAUAAAAUGUGGACUUCUCACGCCCAGGGAGCAGGUUUAGAAAAAUAUGCAAGGAGCUGGCUGGUCCGCUAAUGUCACGACCUGUGUUGGCUCCUGACUCAGCCUGACAGUUGCUACCUCUCAGUGCCUGGUGCUCUAAAUCCCGGUCCUGCUGGCCCAGGGAAAGAGUCUGGGAGAUCCAGGAAAUAAAGUGCUUUUAGAGAACCGCAGCAUCUGCCAGGGAGGUCGCCCCGCGGUGUCUGUUCCUGAGCCCUAGAAAUAUUAAAUAAACCGAAGGAGGAUGAAUGGCUUUCCAGGGCCCUUUAAAUCUCCACGUUCCCGGAGAACAAACCAGGAAGCAGAUGGGGAGAUCGAGCCUCGCUUCCCGCUCCCAGGCUCCGCCAGGGCCUGGGAAGGGUUGGGGGGGCGGCUCUGGAUGGGAGGUUGAAAUGGAAAAUGGAGUUGUUGGCCAAGACAGGCCUCCUGCUCCUGCCCCAGCUUCUGUUCUGUUGCCAACACACCCUCUCUUUCCAUCCGGCUGCCCAUAUUUUUAAGCAGAGGGUCCAGAAACAUCAGCACAGCGUCAAAACUCAUCUGUCUGGGGAAAGCAGCAGCAUCCUCCCCCAUACUCUUCCUGGAGCCCAGAUGGGGAUGCGAUGGCCAUUCCGGCCACUUUUGUGCCACCCGGACUCUGCCAAUCCCCAGGGCUUUGCCACCGUGCCUGGUCCGCUGAACCGGACCAACCUCAGCUGGGUUCUGCACCAGGGCGGGCACCUGGAGGACAGUGAAGGGGUUGGGUCCAAUACAAACACUCAUUUUCGAUUAUAAAGACAUUUAUUUAAUCUAUGAAAAUAAUGUACAAUAAAUACUUUCCCCUCUUUCCUAUUAAAGAAUUUUAAUAAAUAAUCUACCAUCUAAAACUUUAAAAAGGAGGAAAACAGGCUCCUCUAGCUCUUUUUAAGAAAGCCCCCCAAGCGUUUAAUUAUUCCUGAGAUAUUUCGUUGGAGGGAGUCUACCAAACGGAAUUUUCGGAGUGAUUGAAAAUAAAGAAAGGGAGUGGAUGAAACGCUAAUUCAGUAAUACCUGGAUUUUUAGUAAAAACGUAAGCAAAUGCGACUGGGGAUGGAGGAGGCUCCAUUUUUCCAGCAGCGGCACGGGCACGGGGCGCGGGGCGGAAAGGGCGGAGAGAAGCGGGUCAGGGGAACUGCACGUCUAUGGCGCACAGCGAGCUAGUGAAGAAGUCCAGCUCUUCCUCGGAGAAGGGGACCGGGCUGUCGAGCGAGCCCUGCAGGGUGGGAGACAGGCCUCCGGACAGCUGGAGACAGGAGUCUGCGGCGAGGAAGCUGAGGUCGGGCAGGAAAGGCGAGCCCUGGCGCUCCGGGAAGGCGGCUUCGGGCAAGGGACCGGGCUCCAGCCGGCCUGCUCUGCGCAGCGCGCAACC